rnacentral:rRNA from 1 species
UACGGAGGGUGCGAGCGUUAAUCGGAAUUACUGGCGUAAAGGGUGCGUAGGUGGUUUGUUAAGUUAUCUGUAAAAUCCCUGGGCUCAACCUGGGCAGGUCAGAUAAGACUGAGAGACUCGAGUAUAGGAGAGGGUAGUGGAAUUUCCGGGUGUAGCGGUGAAAUGCGUAGAGAUCGGAAGGAACACCGGUGGCGAAGGCGGCUACCUGGCCUAAUACUGACACUGAGGCACGAAAGCGUGGGGAGCAAACAGG